rnacentral:rRNA from 1 species
GAAGAUGGGGGGACCAUCCUCCAAGGCUAAAUACUCCUGAUUGACCGAUAGUGAACCAGUACUGUGAAGGAAAGGCGAAAAGAACCCCAGUGAGGGGAGUGAAAUAGAACCUGAAACCUUGUACGUACAAGCAGUGGGAGCCCUUCGGGGUGACUGCGUACCUUUUGUAUAAUGGGUCAGCGACUUAUUUUCAGUAGCAAGCUUAACCGAGUAGGGGAGGCGUAGGGAAACCGAGUCUUAAGAGGGCGUCAAGUUGCUGGAAUUAGACCCGAAACCGGG